rnacentral:tRNA from 1 species
AAUAAGAUAAGCUAAGAUAAGCUAUUGGGCUCAUACCUCAAAUAUGAGAUUUUCUCUCUUGUUA